GAGACAGGUUAGUUUUACCCUACUGAUGACCUUGCCCCAAUGGUAAUACCGCUUAGUACGAGAGGAACCGCGGUUUCAGAUAAUUGGUUUUUGCGGCUGUCUGACCAGGCAUUGCCGCGAAGCUACCAUCUGCUGGAUUAUGGCUGAACGCCUCUAAGUCAGAAUCCAUGCCAGAACGGGGUGAUUUCCGCCUGCACCAGUCGGAUACGAAUAGGCCUUUGGCCCAGAACCUUACCAGGCCGGCGUUGACAGUCUCAUUGAAAUUGGGGCUGUUAGCCGGCGUAUUGCAAUUGUACAGUGCGCAGGAUUGAAUCCUUUGCAGACGACUUAGUUGUCUAGCCGGGUCGUGUAAGUAGU
rnacentral:rRNA from 1 species